UUCUGCUGAUCACCGCACGAGGCUGCGCGCUGCUGUCAGACGCGCGCGCUGGAGACAGAAGAGACUCUCAUCACGCGCGCCGGCGGAGAGGAGCGCGAGCAUCGCAUCGCAUCGGGCGCUCACACCGCGCCGCAUUGAGGAUCGUACCGUUAUAGAGGAGCAGCUCGAAAUACCCGGAACACAGUGCGUAAAAUCCACAGCCGAGGCUUCUUUGUGACUGCGCUUCAGACUGACUGUAAACCGUCAUUGUAUGGAAAAGAGCCGCAUGAAGAUUCUGCAACAAUCUAAACAGCAUAUAGACCUGAACCGACAUGACGGUGAUCUGGUGCUGAGGUCGACAUGAACCCACCAAUGUCAAACUCUCAAAGAGUCCGCGACCUC